AGGGGCAGCAUGAUUUGUAGCAAUACAGAUUGAUGGCGACCGGCGCACGGGUGAGUAACGCGUAUGCAACCUGCCCUUCACUGGGGGAUAACCGGGAGAAAUUCCGACUAAUACCGCAUAUGAUGUCUGAACGAAUGUUCGGGUUUUGAAAGAUUUAUCGGUGAAGGAUGGGCAUGCGUGAUAUUAGGUAGUUGGCGGGGUAACGGCCCACCAAGCCGACGAUAUCUAGGGGUUCUGAGAGGAAGGUCCCCACACUGGUACUGAGACACGGUCCAAACUCC
rnacentral:rRNA from 1 species